rnacentral:ncRNA from 1 species
AAAUUAACAAUAUCUAUUCUCAUAGAAUUUGUCCAAUUAAGUGUAGACGAUUCAUGUCUUAUUUUUUUAAAGUAUUUAAAAGUAAAAUUACAUGUUAAUACGUAGUAUUAAUGGCGAGACUCCUGAGGGAGCAGUGCCAGUCGAAGACCGAGGCUGAGACGGCACCCUAGGAAAGCGAAGCCAUUCAAUACGAAGUAUUGUAUAAAUAGAGAACAGCAG